UGUCCGGUAGUUUAACUGGCAAAACACGAAACUGAUAAUUUCGAGAUUCAGGUUCGAGGCCAGGCCGGACUACCA
rnacentral:tRNA from 1 species